rnacentral:rRNA from 1 species
AUGAAGGCCAACUGGAUCGUCCUCAUCCACCAAUCCGGUAGUCCGUGGUCUCUCGUGGAUAUCUACACCCAACGACAGAUCACCCUUCCAUCUUUGGAUACCGCCGCCAUCGAGCCUCGCGGCCCGCCGGACACUCCUGCCUACUACGCACGAGACGCCAGACGCAAAUGCACUGGCCUUCAUGAUUCCAGGACCUGGAAUCAUACCAGCCGAUGGGUGGUGUACCAUAUAACUGGAAUUAACCCAUGCAAGUCGAAGAAGGAUUGUCCGGUGCUGUCGGCUGGCAUCAAGUUCGAUCCCACGGAUCAGGAGCUGAUCGAGCACCUUGAGGCCAAAGCGAGUGCUGACAGCGCGAGAUCUCACCCUCUCAUCGAUUUGUUCAUACCAACCAUCGAAAGCGAGCACGGCAUAUGCUACACCCAUACUGAGAAACUUCCAGGUAUUACACUGAGUGGCCUAAGCAAGCAUUUCUUCCAGCACAAUUCCAGGGCAUUCAAAAGGGGCACGUGGACGCGUCGCAAGAUACAGUCGGAGUGCGACAUGCACGCGAUGUGGCACAACACCGGCAAUACCUUAUCGGUGAUGGUCAACGGCCGGCAGACGGGCAGCAAAAAGGUUCUGGUGCUGCACACCAACAAGAACUUCGACCAGCAGAGGAACAACUGGGUGAUACACCAGUACCACCUUGGGGACCUGGAGCAAGAGAAGGAGCGGGAGCUGGUCCUCUGCAAGAUUUUCUACCAGACGAACACUAGGGCUAGGAGUAAAAAGAUUAUAAGUUAG